UAUAUGUGACUAGGUCUAUAAAUAUAUUUUUGUAGGAGGGGGCAGUACUUUUCAGCAGUUGCCGCCAUCUGUAGUGGGUGUAGAGACCAACAGCAGGGCGUCCUUCCCCCUAGUCCUGACUCAUGCCUCCAAUUAUGUUCUUCACAGGGUUGCAUUGCUUGGAGAUGCUGCUCACAGAAUCCACCCAUUGGCUGGUCAGGGAGUCAACCUGGGGUUUGGAGAUGUGGCCUGUCUACGGGACCUUCUGGCUGAAGCUGUCUCCAAUGGCAGUGAUGUAGGAUCCCUGUUGCACUUGACGCAGUACGAGACAAAUCGACAGCGAGCAGUAGUUCCUGUCCUGGCGACCGUUGACGGUCUACAGCGACUGUACACUACAGACUUUACACCUGUUGUCCUCCUUAGAUCACUUGGCCUUCAGGCCACUAACUCUAUGGGCUUUGUCAAGGACUACAUCAUGAGAGGGGCCUCUGGAUGAUUGGAUUUUCACAGAAAAUUAUCUAGUGAGUUGCAAAACUGAACUCUUAAUAUAUCGUGCUGUAUGAUGUCAGAUCUUUGUUAUUGUUGAACCCAAUAAAAUUAAACAACUUUUACAAUGUUGA